AGAUUCCAAAGGUUACUAUUAGUCACAAGAUGUUCCAGUAUAGAGGUGGGUAAGGAAUGGCUAUUCUUUUGUAGAUCUAGAACUAGCUCAAGGAAAGUUAAUUAAACUCUGGACCUGCAGCAUGUCUAUCCCCACAGUUCUCUGCAGUUCCUUUCAGUCAAUGAGUAUAUAGACACAGCUUCUUUACACACACACACACACACACACACACACGUUUAUCACAGUAAACCUCAUUUACAUGUUGUGAGCUAGAGACUCAGUAGAGAAACCACCAACAUGGCUACUCCAUAGUUGGAGGAAGAUUUUUAUUUUUUAUUAUAGAUUAAGGGCGAGGGAGAGAGAAAGAGGAGCAGAGCGGAAGAGUUUUAUUAUAGAUCAGAGAGGGAAGGAAAGGAAUUGAACUUAGGCCCUCUGCAAGAACAUUACUUUUUCUUAACUUCUGAGCAGUCAUGCCAGCUUUAAAAAUUGUUUACAAAUAGAAAGUAUUUCAUAGUGCUCUAUAGUGUUUGAACAGUUUUCUAACCAUGGCUUUUCUUUCUAUGUAACACUUUGUUCUGAGCUUUGAAUAUGUUACUAUAAUUAAGAUAAAUCUUUUGUGGCUGGAGAGAUGGCUCAGUGUUUAAAAGCACUUGUUGGUUUUGUAAGAGGGCACAGGUUCAAGUUCUAGCACCCACUUGGUGGCCCACAACGAUCCAUAACUCUCAUUUUCAGGGGUUUCAAUUCCCUUGCCUCUUUUGACCUCCAUGGGCACCAGACAGGCACAUGGUACAUAGACAUACUUUCAGGCAAAACGUUCAUACAUAUACAAAUGAAUCUUCAUAAGUUUAAAAGUCAACUUCUUCACCUGGGUAUUUAGCAACAAGAAAGCAUCUUGCAAAGCAUGUUCACUGUAGAGUGUAAGAGAUCAGGGACAUGGGUGAAUACUCCUGUUUUUCUUGCAGUGUCUGGAGACUCUUGAAUAUUGGCUCCAGAUCUGCAUGGCAUCUUUCCCAUUCAUCAUUAGAUGGUAUUAGUACCUGCUUCAGGAAGUAAUGGCUUUCAUGAUAGCUCAACAGGCUGUAAGCUUGUGUUUUGCCAGUGUUACAUGUCAUGUUAUUAGUAUUUCUCAUAUUUCUGAAAAUGUGGAGUAGACCUUUUUAAAAAAUAUAUUGACACUAUGAUAAAAUGUACCUU
rnacentral:lncRNA from 1 species